rnacentral:rRNA from 1 species
GACGAACGCUGGCGGCGUGCUUUUCACAUGCAAGUCGAGCGAGAAACCUUCGGGUUUCUAGCGGCGGACGGGUGAGUAACACGUGGGUAACCUGCCUCAAAGAGGGGGAUAGCCUUCCGAAAGGAAGAUUAAUACCGCAUAAUAUUACAGUUUCGCAUGAAGCAGUAAUUAAAGGAGUAAUCCGCUUUGAGAUGGACCCGCGGCGCAUUAGCUAGUUGGAGAGGUAACGGCUCACCAAGGCAACGAUGCGUAGCCGACCUGAGAGGGUGAUCGGCCACAUUGGAACUGAGACACGGUCCAGACUCCUACGGGAGGCAGCAGUGGGGAAUAUUGCACAAUGGGCGAAAGCCUGAUGCAGCAACGCCGCGUGAGUGAUGAAGGUCUUCGGAUUGUAAAGCUCUGUCUCUUGCGAGCGUAAUUGACGGUACCAUUAGAAUAAGCCACGGCUAACUACGUGCCAGCAGCCGCCGUAA